ensembl:misc_RNA Y_RNA Y RNA
GGUUGAUCCAAAGAGAUUGAGUUAUCCAAACUGUUCACAGUGAGUUACAGAUCAAACUUCCUGUUCUACUUUUUCCCCGCUUCUCACUACUGCCCUUGACUAGUCUUAA